rnacentral:rRNA from 1 species
CCUACGGGAGGCAGCAGUGAGGAAUAUUGGUCAAUGGACGAGAGUCUGAACCAGCCAAGUAGCGUGAAGGAUGACUGCCCUAUGGGUUGUAAACUUCUUUUAUAUGGGAAUAAAAUGUUCCACGUGUGGGAUUUUGUAUGUACCAUAUGAAUAAGGAUCGGCUAACUCCGUGCCAGCAGCCGCGGUAAUACGGAGGAUCCGAGCGUUAUCCGGAUUGAUUGGGUUUAACGGGAGCGUAGGUGGAUUGUUAAGUCAGUUGUGAAAGUUUGCGGCUCAACCGUAAAAUUGCAGUUGAAACUGGCAGUCUUGAGUACAGUAGAGGUGGGCGGAAUUCGUGGUGUAGCGGUGAAAUGCUUAGAUAUCACGAAGAACUCCGAUUGCGAAGGCAGCUCACUGGACUGCAACUGACACUGAGGCUCGAAAGUGUGGGUAUCAAACAGGAUUAGAUACCCGUGUAGUC